rnacentral:rRNA from 1 species
UGGGGAAUAUUGCACAAUGGGCGCAAGCCUGAUGCAGCGAUGCCGCGUGGAGGAAGAAGGUUUUCGGAUUGUAAACUCCUGUCUUAAGGGACGAUAAUGACGGUACCUUAGGAGGAAGCUCCGGCUAACUACGUGCCAGCAGCCGCGGUAAUACGUAGGUGGCAAGCGUUAUCCGGAUUUACUGGGUGUAAAGGGCGCGUAGGCGGGGAUGCAAGUCAGAUGUGAAAUCUAUGGGCUUAACCCAUAAACUGCAUUUGAAACUGUAUCUCUUGAGUGUCGGAGAGGUAGACGGAAUUCCUAGUGUAGCGGUGAAAUGCGUAGAUAUUAGGAGGAACACCAGUGGCGAAGGCGGUCUACUGGACGAUAACUGACGCUGAGGCGCGAAAGCGUGGGGAGCAAACAGGAUUAGAUACCCUGGUAGU